UCAUUUAUCAUAUUUAACUUUGAAAAGAAUGAUCCUAUACACAGAAGAUUAGCAUGGCCCCUGCACCAGUAUGACACACAAAUUCCUAAGGUGUUCCAUAUUUAA